GAUUAUUUAUCUUAAUAAAAGUAUUUAUUUUGAAAGUAAAUUAUAAGAUAAAAUCUUAAUAAUCU
rnacentral:tRNA from 1 species